rnacentral:rRNA from 1 species
UACGUAGGGUCCGAGCGUUGUCCGGAAUUACUGGGCGUAAAGAGCUCGUAGGUGGUUUGUCGCGUUGUUCGUGAAAACUCACAGCUCAACUGUGGGCGUGCGGGCGAUACGGGCAGACUAGAGUACUGCAGGGGAGACUGGAAUUCCUGGUGUAGCGGUGAAAUGCGUAGAUAUCGGGAGGAACACCAGUGGCGAAGGCGGCUUCCUGGCCUGCAACUGACGCUGAGACGCGAAAGCGUGGGGAGCGAACCGG